UACGUAGGGUGCGAGCGUUAAUCGGAAUUACUGGGCGUAAAGCGUGCGCAGGCGGUUAUGUAAGACAGAUGUGAAAUCCCCGGGCUCAACCUGGGAACUGCAUUUGUGACUGCAUAGCUAGAGUACGGUAGAGGGGGAUGGAAUUCCGCGUGUAGCAGUGAAAUGCGUAGAUAUGCGGAGGAACACCGAUCGCGAAGGCAAUCCCCUGGACCUGUACUGACGCUCAUGCACGAAAGCGUGGGGAGCAAACAGG
rnacentral:rRNA from 1 species